GGUUUUAAUUAAUCCUGUGCUUUCACAGUCAAGAUAGGCAGAUAGCACUAUUGUUUACACACAGUUAGUGAUGUUUGGGAAAUCUUCCAUUAUAAAAUAAAUCCUUUGGCUUUGUUGAAUAUCGGACAGGAUACACUUCAACCAUAAACAACCAUAUCGUUCAUUUAGUAUCGUUUGAUCGAUCAGUCGAUAUAGAAUUGGGA